GUGUUAACACAGCAGGGAACUGGAAGAAUCAGAACUGGAAGAAGAAGAAGUGAUUGGCAUGCUGACACGCUGCUGUAAGAAUUGCAGUGGGGAACAAUUACAUUGCUCAAAGAACACUUCACAAUUGGAGGGAAGAGAAUUAUGUCAGUGCUGAAGGAUUUCACAGCUGUACUCCAAAACAAACCUGGAAAUGUACAUUAUAGGUACUGGAAGCAAAAGAGUCUAUUAUUUUGUCUUCUUUUAGUUCCUCGAGGUGGUCCUGAUGGAAGCUGGAGAACCACUGUUAUACUGACUGUCAAUGAUGACGAUAAAGUUCCUGUCGUCAGCCUACUGAAGGAAGGGUCUUGGAAAGCAUUCAGGUCAUCAGCUGCUAUGCUAUGAACAUGCUCAGGCAACUCACAGAGAGGCCCUUGUCAUGGGAAACUGAGGCUGCCAGAAAGAAACCACCCAAGUGAGUUUGGCAGCAGAUUCUUCAGUCUCAGUCAAGCGUUGAGAUGACUGCAGCCUUGACAGACAGCACAACUGCAGCCUCGAGAGAAAGCCUGAGCCAGAGGCACCCAGCUAAGCUGU
rnacentral:lncRNA from 1 species